AGAAGAAUUCAAUCAGAAGAUGGGCUGGCUGAACAAAGAGGGGAGCUUCAUUCAGAGAAACCAGGCUCUGAUGGUACUGCAUCCUGAGUAUGCCGUUACAAGAAAAAGAGGGACAAGGUCUCUACCCUCAAUUGACUUUACAGGAAAUCUUGUCACGGAUUUUACAGUUUUUCCUUCUUCUCAAGGUGCCAUGGCUUUGUAGAACUUCAAUUCUUAAACGUAAUGUACCAUCACAGUAAUUAAAUUAACUUAGACGUUUGGUA